rnacentral:rRNA from 1 species
GACGAACGCUGGCGGCGUGCUUAACACAUGCAAGUCGAACGGAAAGGCCCUGCUUUUGUGGGGUGCUCGAGUGGCGAACGGGUGAGUAACACGUGAGUAACCUGCCCUUGACUUUGGGAUAACUUCAGGAAACUGGGGCUAAUACCGGAUAGGAGCUCCUGCUGCAUGGUGGGGGUUGGAAAGUUUCGGCGGUUGGGGAUGGACUCGCGGCCUAUCAGCUUGUUGGUGGGGUAGUGGCUUACCAAGGCUUUGACGGGUAGCCGGCCUGAGAGGGUGACCGGCCACAUGGGGACUGAGAUACGGCCCAGACUCCUACGGGAGGCAGCAGUGGGGAAUAGUGCACAAUGGGCGGAAGCCUGAUGCAGCAACGCCGCGUGCGGGAUGACGGCCUUCGGGUUGUAAACCGCUUUCGCCUGUGACGAAGCGUGAGUGACGGUAAUGGGUAAAGAAGCACCGGCUAACUACGUG